rnacentral:rRNA from 2 species
GAUGGAGCGACGCCGCGUGCGGGAUGACGAUCUUCGGAUUGUAAACCGCUUUUAUAGAGGAUCGAUUUAUGAGCGUACUCUGACGAAUAAGAGGUUGCUAACUCUGUGCCAGCAGCCGCGGUAAUACAGAGACCUCAAGCGUUAUCCGGAUUUAUUGGGCGUAAAGGGUCCGUAGGGGGUUUGGUAAGCUAAAUGUAAAAUCUAUCAGCUCAACUGAUAUAUGCGCAUUUAGAACUGCCUAACUAGAGCACAUCAGAGGUCAUUGGAACUCGACGGU